rnacentral:rRNA from 1 species
AUUGAACGCUGGCGGCAUGCCUUACACAUGCAAGUCGAACGGCAGCACGGGAGCAAUCCUGGUGGCGAGUGGCGAACGGGUGAGUAAUAUAUCGGAACGUGCCCAGUCGUGGGGGAUAACGUAGCGAAAGCUACGCUAAUACCGCAUACGAUCUAUGGAUGAAAGCGGGGGAUCGCAAGACCUCGCGCGAUUGGAGCGGCCGAUAUCAGAUUAGGUAGUUGGUGGGGUAAAGGCUCACCAAGGCGACGAUCCGUAGCGGGUCUGAGAGGACGACCCGCCACACUGGAACUGAGACACGGUCCAGACUCCUACGGGAGGCAGCAGUGGGGAAUCUUAGACAAUGGGGGCAACCCUGAUCUAGCCAUGCCGCGUGAGUGAUGAAGGCCUUAGGGUUGUAAAGCUCUUUCAGCUGGGAAGAUAAUGACGGUACCAGCAGAAGAAGCCCCGGCUAACUCCGUGCCAGCAGCCGCGGUAAAGUGUG